UUUGCUCAGCCGUUCGUUGCAUUUCCUUCCCAAAUCCUCUUUAUCCACAAACCCUAAUCUAACAUACACAAACAAAUAGAUUAGAACCUCAUCCCCUUCACACAACACAGUCGCACCACACCCUGUGCUUCCCCUCUCGUCUCUCACGUCUGGCGCUCCGGCGUCGUGUAACCCGACGGCAAACACCCUUUCUUUCUCGAAAUAUUGCAACCCUCACACCCCCCUUUUUUUUGUAUGACAGGCCGACCACCGUGAUGGUGGCGGCGCACUGCUGUAGCGGCGAAGACAGAGAGACAGAAACGAAGAGAGGGGGGGAGGAUCGACCGACGGUGGCACCACCGGAGCCACAGCAGCGGCGUGGUGGUUACCGCCUGUUUUUCCGGCGACGUGCGACGGUGAGGGCUCCAUCAGUCACAAUCACACCGGUAACAUCCCCAACCCAUCCUUUCUUCUCUUUUCUUUAAGAUCUGUGAAGAUCUAUCUUUCUCUGGCAUGUUUGGCUCUCGUUUCAGGAGGUAAUGGUGGUGGUCGAUGGACCGAGCUGACGUCGGACAUGGCUGCAGCACGAGGGGGGGGGGUGUUGAUGGAAACGGUGGUGUCUGGGUAUUGGUGACCGUAAUGGUGGUGGUGUUAAUUCGAGUCUCGGGUUAGAUGCGGGCUCCAGUUCAGAUUCAUGUUCGAGUUUUUGCGAGUCAAGUCUCGUGGUUCACUUUUAGUUCAAGCGGGUCAGAUGGUUCGGUUACGGGUGCGGGUUGGUUUCGGGACAUGGUUCGGGGUUUUGUUUGAUUUGGUUUUUGGUUCGGCUUGUGCGGUUCACACGGUUCAGCAGGUUCACCUUUCGGGUCAACGACUCGGGUCAACAGGCAGUCAACGGUCAACUGCCGGGUCAACAGAAAGUUAACACGCGACCCGGGAUGCUAUAGAUGCACGCUAGCGAGUUCACAUUCUUGGAAUGACAUCACGGAAUCACGUUAAGCUAGCUUUGCACAGGAAUGUUAAGAGUUUUAUGCAGGAAAAAUCAUUAUUUGAGGGGGAGUGAAUGUUGGAGAUGAGAAACUCAAAAGAUGUCAACAUCAAAGUGAGCAAGUUAGUUGGUGAUAAAAGAGAAAGAGAUGAAGAUAGAGAGAGAGAAGCCUAGAGACUGAUCAAGACUGAAGACGUGAAGACACAACAUUGUCAUGACUCGAUGGUCGACUCGUUAACAUCUGAGGGAGAGUCUGUUGGUGCAUGCAUCUGUCGACUUAGUCUUGUAUCGAGUCUUAGCAUUAGAUUGUUAGAUUAGGGCACGUUAUACGAGAAAACAGGAGAUUGUAUGUAUUUUAGGAAAUAGUUUCGCUUAUAGUGACAUAGGAAGGUUUCGCUUAUCUGUCAUUGUAUAGUUCCGCUUGGAUGUCAGCUAAAGGUUUCGCUUGUAUGACAUGUACAAACAAGCGAACCUCAGCAACUAUAAAUAGUCCCAUAAGCGAAACAUUUGUAACAGUCUUGAAUACUCGUACCGAAGUGCUGCUGGAUUGAGAUUAGGUUGUAAACUGUCAUUAUUCAAUACAGAAAGGUGUUUAAAGUGA